rnacentral:lncRNA from 1 species
CAACAAAACUAGGGACAACCUAGCCUCAAAUCCAUGAUCAUUUCAUUUGCAAAAUACACUGUUUCUGAUGUCAUUGUCCUAAGAAUCAUACCAGAAGUAGUUUAAAUGAAGACUUUUACUAUGAUGGUGCUACCUUUGUAGGAGACCCUAGAGGAUGUCCUAUAUCACAAAAAACUCACUAUACUUCCAGCCCUUGGAGAGAAAUUGAAAAUGCAUUUACAGCAAUCUCAGUGAUCAAGCACCAAAGAAAUCCAAAUAAGAAAAGUAGAGAUGAGGGCCAAGGAUCAAGAAUCAGCCUUGUUCCAUCUCAGCCACACUGUCUUAGAACCUCAUGAUUCUGAAAGCUGUUUUCAAGUGAUUCUGCCCCCACAAGGGCAGCAGUUAUUUCCUACACGGAGCACCUUUCUCUCCAGCUGGUCCAGGAGGUCCCUGGGGUCCUGGACGCCCUGGCAAACCAAUGGGGCCAGCGCUCCCUGCUGAUCCGCGUUCUCCUGGUGAGCCCUAGUACACAAGAAGGGAAAUAUUUUAAUGAUGAAAAAAAGGACAGUGACUUAACAUUCACUUAAUGAUCAAUGGAAUCUUACAGUUCAGUAAAAAUUGCAGAAAUAACUUUUAGACAAUUUUAAGAUCUCCA